GGAGGGAUAAAACCCUUUCUAACCCUAGUUCAUCAAAUCACCAAGAUUGGAUGUGUAAAUUUCACCUAAUUUGAAUGCAUGUGAUCCAAUUCUCGACCAUCUAAGAGUCUCAUACAUUGGGUAAGUCAAAUUUUGUGAUUUGAUGCUAGUUAGUGAUAGAUUGAAAGAAGAAGGAGCUAGUUCCGGUUCACAAACAAAGGCUCAAGAUCGAGGUAAAGCACCCGUAUGAUUGUC
rnacentral:lncRNA from 1 species